rnacentral:rRNA from 1 species
GAUGAACGCUGGCGGCGUGCCUAAUACAUGCAAGUCGAGCGAAUGGAUUAAGAGCUUGCUCUUAUGAAGUUAGCGGCGGACGGGUGAGUAACACGUGGGUAACCUGCCCAUAAGACUGGGAUAACUCCGGGAAACCGGGGCUAAUACCGGAUAACAUUUUGAACCGCAUGGUUCGAAAUUGAAAGGCGGCUUCGGCUGUCACUUAUGGAUGGACCCGCGUCGCAGUAGCUAGUUGGUGAGGUAACGGCUCACCAAGGCAACGAUGCGUAGCCGACAUGGGAGGGGGAUCGGCCACCCUGGGACUGAGACACGGCCCAGAUUCCUACGGGAGGCAGCAGUAGGGAAUCUUCCGCAAUGGACGAAAGUCUGACGGAGCAACGCCGCGUGAGUGAUGAAGGCUUUCGGGUCGUAAAACUCUGUUGUUAGGGAAGAACAAGUGCUAGUUGAAUAAGCUGGCACCUUGACGGUACCUAACCAGAAAGCCACGGCUAACUACGUGCCAGCCGCCGCGGUAA